AGAGUUUGAUCCUGGCUCAGGACGAACGCUGGCGGCGCGCCUAACACAUGCAAGUCGAACGAGAGAGAGGGAGCUUGCUUCCUUGAUCGAGUGGCGAACGGGUGAGUAACGCGUGAGGAACCUGCCUCAAAGAGGGGGACAACAGUUGGAAACGACUGCUAAUACCGCAUAAGCCCACGACCCGGCAUCGGGAAGAGGGAAAAGGAGCAAUCCGCUUUGAGAUGGCCUCGCGUCCGAUUAGCUAGUUGGUGAGGUAACGGCCCACCAAGGCGACGAUCGGUAGCCGGACUGAGAGGUUGAACGGCCACAUUGGGACUGAGACACGGCCCAGACUCCUACGGGAGGCAGCAGUGGGGAAUAUUGCACAAUGGGGGAAACCCUGAUGCAGCGACGCCGCGUGGAGGAAGAAGGUCUUCGGAUUGUAAACUCCUGUUGUUGAGGAAGAUAAUGACGGUACUCAACAAGGAAGUGACGGCUAACUACGUGCCAGCAGCCGCGGUAAAACGUAGGUCACAAGCGUUGUCCGGAAUUACUGGGUGUAAAGGGAGCGCAGGCGGGCGAUCAAGUUGGAAGUGAAAUCCAUGGGCUCAACCCAUGAACUGCUUUCAAAACUGGUCGUCUUGAGUAGUGCAGAGGUAGGCGGAAUUCCCGGUGUAGCGGUGGAAUGCGUAGAUAUCGGGAGGAACACCAGUGGCGAAGGCGGCCUACUGGGCACCAACUGACGCUGAGGCUCGAAAGUGUGGGUAGCAAACAGGAUUAGAUACCCUGGUAGUCCACACUGUAAACGAUGAUUACUAGGUGUUGGGAGAUUGACCCUCUCAGUGCCGCAGUUAACACAAUAAGUAAUCCACCUGGGGAGUACGACCGCAAGGUUGAAACUCAAAGGAAUUGACGGGGGCCCGCACAAGCAGUGGAGUAUGUGGUUUAAUUCGACGCAACGCGAAGAACCUUACCAAGUCUUGACAUCCUCUGACGAACGUAGAAAUACGUUUUCUCUUCGGAGCAGAGAGACAGGUGGUGCAUGGUUGUCGUCAGCUCGUGUCGUGAGAUGUUGGGUUAAGU
rnacentral:rRNA from 1 species